AGCGAACGCUGGCGGCAUGCCUAACACAUGCAAGUCGAACGAGACCUUCGGGUCUAGUGGCGCACGGGUGCGUAACGCGUGGGAACCUGCCCUUAGGUUCGGAAUAACUCCCCGAAAGGGGUGCUAAUACCGGAUAAUGUCUUCGGACCAAAGAUUUAUCGCCUUUGGAUGGGCCCGCGUUGGAUUAGCUAGUUGGUAGGGUAAAAGCCUACCAAGGCGACGAUCCAUAGCUGGUCUGAGAGGAUGAUCAGCCACACUGGGACUGAGACACGGCCCAGACUCCUACGGGAGGCAGCAGUGGGGAAUAUUGGACAAUGGGCGAAAGCCUGAUCCAGCAAUGCCGCGUGAGUGAUGAAGGCCUUAGGGUUGUAAAGCUCUUUUACCCGGGAUGAUAAUGACAGUACCGGGAGAAUAAGUUCCGGCUAACUCCGUG
rnacentral:rRNA from 1 species